UACAGAGGGUGCAAGCGUUGCUCGGAAUCAUUGGGCGUAAAGGGCAGGUAGGUGGUCUCGUUUGUCUGGGGUGAAAGCCUUGAGCUUAACUCAAGAAGUGCCCCGGAAACGGCGAGACUGGAGUCUUGGAGAGGGUCGUGGAAUUCCCGGUGUAGCGGUGAAAUGCGUAGAGAUCGGGAGGAACACCAGCGGCGAAGGCAGCUCGCUGGGACGGUACUGACGCUGAGGCGCGAAAGCGUGGGGAGCAAACAGG
rnacentral:rRNA from 1 species